UUUUUUGCCAUUUCAGGUAAGACCAUGAAUUAUGGCAUUUUUUAAAUGAAGCAUUCAGGAAUGAAGUGAAAGUCAAAACAUAUAGAAAAUAAGCGAUUUUUAAGUUAUGUCUAUUAGUUUGACUAUAGAUAUAUAUAUUUACCUCCUUAGUAAUGCACGAAGUCUUUGUGGGAAGCAGAAGAGCAAACAGCUACAUUUCUUGUGCUCACCUAAACAUCACUGGAGGAUAAGCCACAUCAGUCUACAAAGAGGUUUUCAUACCAGCAGAAUAAGAUGUAAAUUGACCAAAAGUGAAGCACCUUCUUGCAGUAAGCACUGUUACUCGCCAAGCAAUGAUGGUUUACAUAUUGGGAUUUUGAAACUUAGCACUUCUGCUCCCAAGGGACUGACAAAAGUGAGCAUUCGUAUGUCCCGUAUUAAAAGUACUUUGAAUUCUGUUUCAAAGGCUGUUUUUGGAAAUCAGAAUGAAAUGAUCUCACGUUUAGCUCAAUUUAUGCCAAGUUCUCCAAUAUUAAGAAAAGCAUCAGAUAGUGGUUGGUUAAAACAGGAAAACAUUAAACAAACCAUCAAAUCUCUGAAAAAAUAUAGUGACAAAUCAGCAGAAAAGAGUUCUUUUCCAGGAAAGCAAAGUCAGGUUAUAGAUAAAGACGAAGAUACCAGUAAACAAAGCCUUGUUCAUCACACAAGUAGCAUAACCACAAAAUUUGGAGAGUCAUUCUACUUUUUAUCCAAUCAUAUUAAUUCAUACUUCAAACGUGAGGAAAAAAUGUCUGAAAAAAAGGAAAAUAAACAUUUCCAGGACAAAUCAGAACUUGAAGGUAAAAAGGUUGAAGAAGAGAAAUCCAGUUGUCCAGAUGGUGGUGUUCCGACUGAUAAAAAGCUAGACUCAGCAUCUUCCUUAGAGACUGUGGACAAACCUGGAAGUCCCAGCGGGACAACGGAGGUUCUUCCAGUUUCUACUAAACAAAGUAUUGCUAACUUCCUUUCUCGCCCCACUGAAGGUGUGCAAGCCUUAGUAGGGGGUUAUAUUGGUGGACUUGUGCCCAAAUUGAAGUAUGACUCAAAGAGUCACUCAGAAGAACAGGAAGAAGCUACUAAAGCUGAGCAUGCUGUCAGUAAAGACAAAAAUGCGGAGGAGAAAAAGCGUCUAUCUCUUCAGCGAGAAAAGGCAAGUGCUAUUCAGGGUGGGUUUAAGCUUUAA